UCCGGUUUAGACCGGCGGUCCCCCUAGAGAUGUCAACUAAGGGCAAGGGUUGCGCUCGUUGCGGGACUUAACCCAACACCUCACGGCACGAGCUGACGACAGCCAUGCAGCAUCUGUGCACGCUCCCUUGCGGGUCCCUUCCCUUACAGGUUGGUACCACGUGCAUGUCAAGCCGAGGUAAGGUUCUGCGCGUUGCAUCGAAUUAAUCCACAUCAUCCACCGCUUGUGCGGGUCCCCGUCAAUUCCUUUGAGUUUUAAUCUUGCGACCGUACUCCCCAGGCGGUCAACUUCACGCGUUAGCUGCGGUACUGAACAGCCAGGCUGCCCAACAUCCAGCACACAUCGUUUACGGCGUGGACUAC
rnacentral:misc_RNA from 1 species